rnacentral:rRNA from 1 species
GACGAACGCUGGCGGCGUGCUUAACACAUGCAAGUCGAGCGAGAAAGCACCUUCGGGUGUGAGUACAGCGGCGAACGGGUGAGUAACACGUGGGCAACCUGCCCCAGAGACCGGGACAACAGCUCGAAAGGGCUGCUAAUACCGGAUAACGUGCGGUCUGCCAAGUGGACCGCACCAAAUGGUAGCUUCGGCCUCCGCUCUGGGAUGGGCCCGCGGCGCAUUAGCUUGUUGGUGAGGUAACGGCUCACCAAGGCAACGAUGCGUAGCUGGUCUGAGAGGACGAUCAGCCACACUGGGACUGAGACACGGCCCAGACUCCUACGGGAGGCAGCAGUGGGGAAUCUUGCGCAAUGGGCGAAAGCCUGACGCAGCAACGCCGCGUGAGCGAAGACGGCCUUCGGGUUGUAAAGCUCUGUCAGGAGGGACGAAGCCACUCGGGUGAAUAGCCCAGAGGGUGACGGUACC